AUUGAACGCUGGCGGCAGGCUUAACACAUGCAAGUCGAGCGGGGUGAUGGUGCUUGCACUAUCACUUAGCGGCGGACGGGUGAGUAAUGCUUAGGAAUCUGCCUAUUAGUGGGGGACAACAUCUCGAAAGGGAUGCUAAUACCGCAUACGUCCUACGGGAGAAAGCAGGGGAUCACUUGUGACCUUGCGCUAAUAGAUGAGCCUAAGUCGGAUUAGCUAGUUGGUGGGGUAAAGGCCUACCAAGGCGACGAUCUGUAGCGGGUCUGAGAGGAUGAGCAGCAGCACUGGGACUGAGAAACGGCCCAGACUCCUACGGGAGGCAGCAGUGGGGAAUAUUGGGCAAUGGGGGGAACCCUGAUCCAGCCAUGCCGCGUGUGUGAAGAAGGCCUUAUGGUUGUAAAGCACUUUAAGCGAGGAGGAGGCUCUUUUGGUUAAUACCCAAGAUGAGUGGACGUUACUCGCAGAAUAAGCACCGGCUAACUCUGUGCCAGCCGCCGCCGUAA
rnacentral:rRNA from 1 species